UACGUAGGGUGCAGGCGUUAAUCGGAAUUACUGGGCGUAAAGCGUGCGCAGGCGGUUUGCUAAGACAGGUGUGAAAUCCCCGGGCUUAACCUGGGAACUGCGCUUGUUACUGGCAAGCUUGAGUGUGGCAGAGGGGGGGUGGAAUUCCGACGUGUAGCAGUGAAAUGCGUAGAGAUGUGGAGGAACACCGAUGGCGAAGGCAGCCCCCCUGGGCUAACACUGACGCUCAUGCACGAAAGCGUGGGGAGCAAACAGG
rnacentral:rRNA from 1 species